rnacentral:rRNA from 1 species
AGAGUUUGAUCAUGGCUCAGGAUGAACGCUAGCGGCAGGCUUAACACAUGCAAGUCGAGGGGCAGCGGGAUGUAGCAAUACAUUGCCGGCGACCGGCGGAUGGGUGCGUAACGCGUAUGCAACCUACCUUAUACAGGGGAAUAACCUUUCGAAAGGGAGACUAACACCCCAUGGUAUUGAUUUAAGGCAUCUUAGAUUAAUUAAAUAUUUAUAGGUAUAAGAUGGGCAUGCGUAUGAUUAGCUAGUUGGUAAGGUAACGGCUUACCAAGGCGACGAUCAUUAGGGGUUCUGAGAGGAAGGUCCCCCACACUGGUACUGAGACACGGACCAGACUCCUACGGGAGGCAGCAGUGAGGAAUAUUGGUCAAUGGGCGCAAGCCUGAACCAGCCAUGCCGCGUGCAAGGAAGACGGCCUUAUGGGUUGUAAACUGCUUUUACAUAAGACUAACCGUAUAUUUGCGAAUAUACCUGAAUGUAUUAUGAGAAUAAGGAUCGGCUAACUCCGUGCCAGCCGCGGC